rnacentral:snRNA from 1 species
AUUUAUUAAAAUAUAACUUAUAUCGAACAUGGUUCUUGCCUUUUACCAGAGCCAUCCGGGUAUUGUCUUUCUUUUACAGGUAAUGCUGGUCACUACUAUAUCCUAAAUAUUUUUUGGAA